UUGUUGUUGUUUUUUUAAGGUUUUGUAGCAAAUGUGCUCAGCUGCCAAACAUUUUUAAUUCCUCUGCUAGACAAGAUGGGAGUGGAGCCUGUUGCCUGGGAAGAAUAUUUACUCGUCAGCAAACCAGACGUUCACCUCCAUCUCCUUGCCAGAGUCCUAUCUUCUCGAUCCAAAAUGGAGCCAGAUGUGCUGGGAGUCAGUUUCUAACUUCACAGGAUAUGAGUCAAAAUGUGCAACUCGCCGCCUGGAACUCCGGUGACUGCAGUGGAGUUCAGCCAAGGACAAUUUUGGCAAAGAGGAGUGGUCAGGAUGGCCCUAAGCGAUACCAGGUACCAGCGUGUGGCCCUGGGGAGGAGCUGGGGAGCAGCCUGGAGCCCCUGAGCACACCACUUUGAACAGCAGAGCAGACACGAAGGCAACUUGAAGGAUGUGUAGGAGACCUGAGACAGCGCACUCCAGAGCCCUGUGAGGUACUGGUGUUGGUUGAGAAGUUCGUGAAGCCCAAUUGCUCAGCUUCUCGCAUUGCUCUUCUCUGCUUUCAUCCCCUGUAUCCCUUUGUUCCAUCUCUUACUCCCCUGUGGUGCAUCUGAAAUCCCCUUCAUUGCACCCAGACUUUGUCCCUCCGUGUCUUCUGACACCCUCCUCUCCACACACACCGUGUUUGCAGCUCUCUUCCCCCUUCUUCCCACACCAUGUCUCAGCCUUGCCCUGCUCUGGAGGAGAUUUGGGGGAUCUGUGGGGCAGUAGGAGCACAGCAGCACUGAGGCACACUUGUACCAGGUGGCAGGCCAGGGGACAAGAGCCAAGGUCCAAGCCCAGCAUGCUCCUGCCAUGCCGGGGAGAGCUUCAACAGCCCUGGAAACCCAGGGGUUUGCCCUUGGUUGGGCAAAAGUGCCGCGUGGUGGAAACCACCACCUGCACCCCCCCAGCAGAAGGGCAGCGAGAUGGAUGCAAUCUGCCCCCGGAUGAACAGCUCCUGCUUACGCAGCGGGAAGCGAGGGAGUCACUAGCUCGCUUUCCCUCCUGCCGACCUGUGCCUCCUCCUCCACCCAGCCUCCCUUCAUGCUUCUGGGUCAGGGCCCCAGCUUUGCUCCCUCUCCUUUGUUUCCCUUUUCUGCCACCUUUUAAUCCCCCUCCUCCCAAUCCCUUUUGCCUCUCCAGAGCCCUGUCCUCUCCUGCUUGGUCUCUGCUCUUGGUCCUGUCCACUUUCUGCAUCCAACCAACCCACACCAUCCCUGCUUGGUCAGCACACGUGCCCGAUCCCUUCCCUGUGCUCCCCCCCAAAAAAAAAACUUUUAAAAAAAAAGCAAUUCAAGAGUGGUCUGGGUUAAAGGGAUUUUGUAUCAGUGACUUACUGGGGCAGAUGACCAACUUAUUGUUUUUUCUUGACUGCAUUCACUUGCCUUGCUCCGUGUAACCUAAUCCUGUUUUUUAACCAUCUUCUAUCUCCCCUCUGUUAGUCAUUACUGAUUUUCCUGACUACUUAGGUUUCUAAAACAAAAUCGGACUGUUUAUUUUAGAGCGCUCACAAAUGUUUUUUAAACCAGAGAUAGUGGGGCUUGGACAAAAGGCACCCCUGGAAGAAGCAAGAAUUGCAUGCACCGUGCAGUUCCCAAGAGCUGCGAGAGAAGCAGUCACCUGCUUGGUGCACGGGUGCAGCUGAGGUUCAGCGAGCACCCUGUCUCACCCGGAAUCACCCGGGUAUUUUACCAGCAAUCUGCCUGGAAACCUUCUUGCCUCAGCACAUGUCUCACUGCACAUGAGCGCUGCUCCGUCUUUGAUCCGACAGCUUGCCACGAGCUGAUCCAGUGGCUCGAGCCCAAAGGUCAGCAACUUUUGCAGUGGUGUCAUCGGUGGGGGCUGUGCACCAGCAGAAAGGGAUGCCAGGCAACAGACCAGCCUGAACAGGGCCACACCAUGUGUUGAGAAAUAAAGAAGAGAAGCAGUAACACAGAGGAAGGCAUUAAUGUAUUAUUCACGCAAUGGCCGUGCUUUCGUUCUUCUCCUAGAUUUUCCCCUAGAAGUGAGGGUGGAGCCUCUGUGCCCACCUCUGCUAAACUUCAGGGAAUCUGCAGUCCGCCGAGACAGCUGCAGGCAGAGUACACGCGUGGCCAUUAUGUGAAGGAAAGCAGCUCAUGACACGCCUGCUGGAGGCAGGCUGGGUAGCCGGGUCUUCCCACUCAGACGACUCCAAAUUUGCACCGAGCGGCGUUUUGCCAGGGCCUCCACGAGGCUCGUCGGCAGCAAACCAGACCUGAUGGGGCAGGGGAACGUCGAGGCGUGUUGCGUGCGCCGUCGCUAGCAGAGAGCCGUGCUCGGCCUGCACCACGGCCCAGCGAGCCACGCUCCCCGGGACGGCUCUGAGCGCACGCGGGGCUGGAGCACCCCAAGCAACACAUGGUGCACCCAACAGUGCCUCGCUGCAGCGGUGAUUAAUCAUUUAGGCCCUGAUCCUGCAAACGUGCAUGAGUUUAAUGUUACUACUAUGAGUAAUCCCCUUGAUUUCAAAUUAGAUUAGUCACAGUCUUAACACUUGGCACGUGAAUAAAUGUUUGCAGGGUGAGAGCCCUAUUUAUGGCCCGAUCUUGCAAAUUAUUACUGUCUAGCACACUGCUUCUGUUCCUGAAUAGUUUCACUGAUGGAAAAAAAAAAAAAAAAAAGCCUCAAACACUCCCCUGGAUUGUGAACGUUGCAGGGUUAGAUGUGGUGCGUGGCAAGCGUGUGCACCCCUGCGCAGCGUGGGUCACGGGCAGAGGCAUCUGAGCCUUGAGGGGUGGGUGCCUGCUGGAGGCUCUGACCCAAAGCUCUGGCGAGCCGACCGCCGCCGAUGUUUUCUCCUUCCUCUACCCCCGGUUCUGAGAUUCAGGUCUUCCAUCUACAGUGUAAAUGGACUUUUU